CUCACUUCGAGGCGUUCUUCCACUACCGGUCCAAUGUUCCUAGAAGGCAAUGCAAUUUGUGGACAAGCCCAUGAAACCCAAAGGUGAAAAAGGGAAACAGGUUUACACAGACAGCCCUUCCUGCCACGUCUCCAGACAUUCCUGCUGGAAUCUAAUCACCUUUGUCUUUAACCAGGCUUCCUGCCCACAUCUUACCAGUUCUGUUCUAGCAGCAAAGUUUGCUUUACUUUCCUGAGGAUACGCACGUGCACCCUGGAUCUCAUCUCCACAUGCAGGGUGGUGGGUCCCUUCCAUUUCUAUUUCCUGGCUCAUCACCUGUCUUCAUGCUUGGGACUACCUUUCUGUUGAAGGCCCACCUAUGGCUUCCCAUGGACCAAUCAGCACGUACUUCCUCACUUCUGAAUCCAUAAAAAUCCCUGACUCAGCUAGACUCCAUGCUCUUUGGGACGACCUGACUGCAGAUAGGAGCCACCCACUUCAGGAUUCCUCUACUUUGUUUGAGAUGACCUGCCUGUGGAUAGGAGCUACCCAUUUCUGGUCUCCUCUACACUCUUCAGGACAACCUGUCCACACAUAGCAGCUACCCACAUCGGGACUUCUCUAUAUUCUUCAGGAAAACCUGCACAUGGAUUGGAGCUACCCACAUUGGGAGUCCUCUACAUUCUUCAGGAUGACCUGCCUGUGGAGAGGAGUUACCCAUUUCAAGUCUCUACACUCUUAGGGAUGACUGCCCACAGAUGGGAGCUAUCCACUUCAAGUCUCCUCUAUACUCUUCAGGACAACCUGCCUGUGGAUAGGAGCUACCCACUUCAGGAUGCCUCUAAACUCUCUGGAUGAUCUGCCUGUAGAUAGCAGCUACCCACUUCAAGACUUUUC
rnacentral:lncRNA from 1 species